UUGAGAGAUAAAGACGGGUACCCCAUAGCACCAUCUCCGACAAGCCAUCUAACCAGUGCAAGUCUUGGUGGUGAAACAGUGGAAUGUCAGUGUAAUGAGUAUCCCCAUUCUUGCAGAAGCUCAUGUAAGAGUGUCCAGGGAGGUCGAACAACCACACCACGACGUACUCUUUUCCACUCUCCGAAACCGAGUGUCCAGGGAGGUCGAACAACCACACCACAACGUACUCUUUUCCACUCUCGGAAACCCACAAAAGGCCCCUCACCACAUCAGCACUCAGAUCGCUGAAAAUACUGUCAGAAUCUUGCCUUACAAAUUUUCUAUCUCCCACACUCUUGACAAUACAAUCAGCUGAAUCAAUCGACUCUAGAGACGGAAGACGGAUCUUUUUUCUCGCUAAACGCAUCUACGAUGUACAAACUGGAUCCUGAAUCUAACAACAAGAGCCAGUUGCCCGAGUUUGCCAGGAAUCGACACCCUGAAAAGUCUCCAAGUUUCCUUUGGAACGUGCCUUCUUUCGGGUUGUACAGCACACAACCACCGUCUUUCGGAAAAAGCAUCAGCCCUGGAGAUUCGUUGCGUCGUUUGAGGGAAGAAGUCAUUAUCAGGAGGCAGAUUCUCGCGUUGCAGUUAUUGUGUGUAAUAUAGGGUACCGCUUAGGGUUUGUGGCACACACUGAAAAAGUGAUAGUUUGUUAUUAGUCCCAUUUUUUUUUCUCUUUUCCUAUAUGAACAAAUACAACAUUUUUUUUUUAACAACAUAGCUUUAUUUAAUUAGAUUGUGAAAGGAUAAUACAAAUAUUUAAUCAACCAAACAGGAGGAAUAUGAAAACUAACAGAAGAAAUAACUUGUUGAGUUGCUUUUCUUGCCAAAGCAUCAGCCGCUUGAUUCUUUUCUCGAUUAACAAAUUCCAGUGAACUUUCCGGGAGCAUCAUCAUCCAAUAUCGAAUAUCACAGAUCAAGUUGCCAAUUUCUAUAUGAUCCUUCACUUGAUUUAUAAUAUUGCAUAAUUCCUUAUUAUCACCUUCGAACCAAACUCUUUGCAAUCCCCGAAUCCAAACUUGCUGGAGAGCAUAUAAAAAACUCGAUGCUUCACCCACAAGCGAAGACUGUUGCCUUUCCAAUUGCGCGUAUCCAGAUCCCAGAUGACACCCUUUAUCAUCUCUCAAUAUCCAUCCUAAACCAGCUUUAUCAUUGUUCCCAGAGCUAUAAUCAAAGUUACAUUUAAUCCAGCCACUGGGGGGCGGCUCCCAUUUUGAGGAUUUAACUUCUAUAACUCGGUGUUGUUGUCCAGGUUGAAUAACAUUACGAUGCCAUUCAAUAUUAGCAUCCAUCGCACGGCGGACAUCCUCUAUAGGAUGUACAUUUCUCUUGGAGAAGAUAAACUCAUUUCUUGACUUCCAAAUCAACCACAACAUCCAGAAUACAAGUAACUUGUUUAUUUCAUGAUCGCCCAUUGACUCCAUCACCCCAAAAAGAUUUCUAAUAUUAUCUUCCAGAUUAUUAGAAAAAUUUUGAGUAACAAGCAUACCUGAACAACGCCAGAUUGCAUAUGCGUGAGGGCAUAGGAACAACACAUGAUUAAUGGAUUCAUCAUCAAGGCAACAUCUUUGGCAUGUUGGAUCCAUAUUAAUUCCCCGCGUACAUAAUCUAGUAGCAGUAGGAAGAGCUCCUGAUACCACCCUCCAUAGAAAUUGCUUAACUUUUGGGAGAAUAUUCAAAUCCCAUAUCUUUUUCUUUACUUCCAGUGAUCCAUCGGGUCUCAAUAUUUCCUCCCCCUCAUGAUAAUGGUGAGUAGCAGCCCAGUACCCAGAUUUGACAGUAUAUUCCAUAUCCUUGGUAAAAGGCCAUACGAGCUUAUCUUCUGUAGGGUAUCUAGACAACUUGAUCUUCAAAACCUGAACUAUAUCCUGCGGCUGUAAAAAUUCUUCUAGUUUCUGAAGAUCCCAAGAAAAAGUUUCCUUAUCAAUAAAAUCCUCCACCUUCAUAUUUUGAUUAUAAGAAACUUGUACAACACGUCUUGGAGGAUUUUCCGGUAACCAAUGAUCUAACCAAACAUUAGUGUUCUUUCCAUCUCCAAUCAUUGUUCUCAAACCUUUUUGAAGUAGUUCCUUUCCUACUUGAAUAGACUUCCAGCCAUAAGAGGCUUGCUUUGAAUUCGAUGACUGUAAGAAUGUCAACGAAUGAUGAUACCUUCCUUUGUAAAUCCUACUAAGGAGAGAGUUUGGAUUUUGCCAUAUUCGCCAUGCUUGUUUCGCCAAUAGAGCUUUGUUGAAACUAUAGAGGUCGCGAAAGCCCAUCCCCCCUUCUUUUUUUGGCAAGCACAAUCGUUUCCAAGAUAUCCAAGAAAUCUUCCUUCUCUCAUCUCCUGUUCCCCACCAAAACUCAGAGAGAAUGGAGUUUAUCUCAUCACAUAUUGUCUUUGGGACUAGAAAACAGCUCAUAGGAUAUACCGGUUUUGCUUGAAGAACCGAUUUUAUUAAGACCUCUUUACCUGCCUGCGAUAAAUUCUGAUUAUACCACUGAGAAGUAGCCUUUCUGAUUUGUUCCACAAUUCCUUUGAAAUCUUGAACUUUACUCUGACCAAACUGCUCUGGGAGACCAAGAUAUUUACCUCCACCUCCUGUUCGAUAAAUCUUCAAUAUAUUAUGAAUCCUAUUCUUCACUUGUUGAUCAACCCGCUUUCCAAAGAUGACUGAAGAUUUCUCUAAAUUAACUUUCUGUCCCGAAGUCUUCUCAUACAUAUCUAAUAUGUCUGCCAUACAUAAAGCAUUAUCCUCAUUAGCACGGCAAAAGAAGAGAGAGUCAUCAGCGAAUAAUAAGUGAGAGACCUUUGGGGCAAUGUCUAGAAAGUUUCAUCCCCUGAAAUCGAUUAGUUAUCUGAGCUUGAUCAAUCAUUUGGCUUAAGGCUUCAGCACAAAGGAGGAAAAGAUAUGGUGAUAGAGUAUCUCCUUGUCUUAUCCCCCUUGAAGGUUUUAUCAUUCCAUAUGGGCAACCAUUAAUCAGAACCGAAUAAGACACCGUAGUAAUACAAGACAUAAUCCAAGAUAUGGAGAUAGGAUGAAAUCCAAGCUUGGUCAUGAUGCUUUCUAAAAAACUCCACUCUACCCGAUCGUACGCUUUGCUAAUGUCUGUCUUGAUGGCCAUAUAUUGUUCAGAACAAUCUUUCUUAGACUUCAGAGCGCUUAUCAGUUCAUGUGCCACUAAAAUAUUAUCAGAAAUCUGGCGACCCGGAACAAAAGCAGCUUGUGAUUCAGAAAUUAUCACAUCCAAACACCUCUGAAUUCGAAUACCCAAAACCUUUGAUAUCAAUUUAUACGCCACAGUACAGAGACUUAUCGGACGGUACUCUCCCAUAUCUGCAGCCUCUGGAAACUUUGGAAGUAAUACUAUAUUUGUGUGGUUAAUCCCAUUAUCCAUGAUACCACUCUCAAAGAAUCUUCGAACCAUGUUACAAACAUCUGGACCGAUUGUAUCCCAAAAUUGUUUAUAAAAAGCAGCCGUGAAGCCAUCUGGGCCAGGUGCUCUGUCUGCUCCAAUGAGAUCCAAAGCGUCUUUUAUUUCUCUAUCUGUGACUGGGGCAAUGAGUUGAGCGUUCAUCUCCAUCGUGAUCUUAGGUUGAAUAUUAGGUAAGCAUUCGUCUAAUGGUAUUGUUGGAGUAGAAGAAAACAUGCUUUCAAAAUAAUCUUCAGCAACCUUUGCUAUAGUUUCCUCUUGUAUAUGGAAGACUCCAUUCUUAUCUCUCAUUUUCGAGAUUUUAUUUUUGCUUUUCUUCACUUUAGAAACCCCAUGGUAAAAUGGAGUGUUACGAUCCCCUAAAUUCAGCCACCGGUUCCUGCUUUUCAGCUUCCAAAACUCUUCUUCAUCUCUGUAUGCUUUAUUUAAGUUCACUCGUAGCUCUUGGAUUACUUCAAGUUGAACUGAGCUAUCUCGGAGAGCUUGAUCUAUUUGCCCUCUAAUCACACUUAUACGAACUGCAGAAUUCGUUUGGUGUCUUCUCUUCCAGUUAACAAUCUGAUUCCGACAAUGGCCCAGUUUCUGAUUCCAACCUCUGAUGAAUUCUGUCUGAUCCCAAGCUCCAGAAACUGUCUCCACAAAACUCUGAUCUUCGAAUAGUCUUUUAUCAUAGCAAAAGAGUCCUUUCCUUCGUUGAUAUUUGUAAUCAAUUGACACAAUCAUGGGUCUAUGAUCCGAUUCUGCAAUCUCCAAAUAUUCAGUACUAGAAUUUGGAAAUUUAUUCAUCCAUGAGGGGUUUACCAUCACUCUAUCCAAGCAGCAUUCAAUGAUAUCAUUUCUUCGACGACCAACCCAACUGAACUGAUUACCAGUAUGUUUGAGAUCCUUCAUGUCACAAAUCUGUAGCAUCGUAUUAAAAUUCUGAAAACUCGACAUUGAUCUUGUCCUUCCCCCUAUCUUCUCCUCUGAUUUUGUUAUCUCAUUACAAUCACCACACAACAUCCAAGGCCCCACACGGGUAGUGGCUAUUCUUUGAAGUCUUUCCCACAGAAGAUGUCUAUAUUUCGGUUGAGGGUGCCCAUAUACACAAGACAAAUAAAACUGAAAACAUUGAUAUUCAACAUGAAGGUCUACAAGUCUUUCAUCACUGGAAAUGCAAGAAACAGAAACAUAUGACUUCCAAAAUACAGCUAAACCACCACUAUAACCAAUCGGUGGAACUAAUAUCAUAUGAUCAAAACCAAGAUCCACCCCAAUAUCUCUAACAACAUCGUUAGCUUGCUUGGUUUCAAUCAGGAACAACAAGUCUGGAUGAUACAAACGUUGCAUCUCCUUUAGACGUCGAACUGUCAAGCGUUGUCCCAGCCCUCGACAGUUCCACACCUCGACUCUCAUGGUUCAUCUGGUGGAACCGGGCCCACCGCGCCUCUGUCGAUCUGUGGAUUGUUGUCAUGAGCUUGAUCCUGACCAUAAUCUUCCUGAAGCUUUCGCAGAGCAUUGAACUCAUGAGACAUCUUCAUCCUUCCAACAGGAAACUUAUCAACCAUCUCAGACUCCAUCCUUGGACGUUUACCCAGAGAAGAUAUCUCCUUUGAAACACCCUGAUCAUCCGCAUGCUGCAUCGCGGCAUGGAUAUGAUCCAUCUCAUGAUCGAAGUCCUCCUGAAGGAACGAUCCAUACUGGCUGAAACCAAACUCAGAGGAUCUACGAGCUUCCAUCGCCAGGAUUAUGUGAUCACUCUCCUCAUCUGAUUCAUUCUCUUGUCUCAAACACAUCUCAGUACCACUACCUCUCUGGCGACUAGAGCUUCCUUCUUCUAGCAGAGCAGCCACGAAAUCAUUCCUUCGCUUCAUCCGAACCUCACCAGUGUUUUGCUCAUAUCCUUGGCUAGUUAUAACCAUAGGAGCAGUAGAGCUAAAUUGCUGCAGCAAUGCAACAUGAGAACCAGGACCCGUUUCACCAUCAUUCACCUGAUCCAUGGGAAUGUCGUGAGCAGGACCAUCUGGUGCCACCGCUGCGUCCUCCUCAUUUUCCUCACCUCCGGCCUGGUCAUUUGGAGGAUCUUCUUCCUCAUUGUUAGCAUCCAUCUGAUCCACCACUGCUGCAGGAGGACAUUCACCGGAGUCAUGGGUAAUCAUCCCACACUGAUCACAAAAACCCCUGAGUCGUUCGUAACGGAACUUCAGCAGAGUAUUAACUCCAGGGGAGAAUUGGAAGUUUCUCUGAAACUUGAGAGGGUUGCCUACGUUCCAGUUGAGUCGAAUACGAACAAAUUCCACCGCAGCGUUAACACUUGGGUUGAAAUCCACCGUCAUGACUUCCCCCAUUCUAUCACCAAUGUUGUGGAUCACCUGUUCGGUAAGAUACUCCAAAGGAAUACCCCUAAUUUGCACCCACAGAGGUAUAUAGUUGAGAUCAGCGUCAUCCAUACCCGGAACCCAUCGACUAAUGAUCAGCAUUCUUUCAUUGAACGCCCAUGGACCUCUGUUAAUCACCGACAGAAGCAUUUCUUCGGUUGGAAAGACAAACUGGAACUUCCUCCUAUCAACGAUACGUCCAGAGAUGAGACCAGGAAGACCCCACAUUUUAGGCAGGGAGGUCAGGAGCGCCCUCACGUUUUGCUUCGUUUGCAUAGAUGGUCUCCCAAUCAAAGAAAAUUGAUUCACCCGGCGCGCUUCAUUACAAACCGCCGCAGAGAGAGGCACCGGAUCAUCAUCAAUACCCAAAUUCAGAUCCUGAAUCGCCCUUCGCAAAUUAUCCGCCAUGAUCGCAAGACUACAAUCAAAACGAUAUGUGUACAGGAUUUGUGAAGUGAUUUUCUGAAUCGGGGAGGAAAAAUUGUGAAGAUAUAUAAACCCCCCAUCCAUAACAAUAACUAUCAAAAACUGCUUCAUCGUGGUGAAGUUUGUACUCCACUACGGAGAUGGAAGAAUCAUGGGUGUUAACUUGCGUAAACCAACCCACUAUCAAAUCAAAUUGGGAACCAAAAGAUCUGGAUUCUUCAAAGAAAAACCAGAAGAAUAACCGCUUCACGAUCGCCUUAUCAAUCGCCAAUAACCGCUUCACGAUCGCCAUCGCUUCAAACUGCCCAAGCUUCUUAUUCAUCAAAAAUUCAAAAUUUCGAUUUUCAUUUUCACAGAAAUAAUGUUUAUUUGAUAGAUGAGUGUUCAUGUUAUUGUUUUAUAUAUUUUGAUUGAUUUAUAAAUCCAAGUAAAAUAUACAGAUUUUUUAAAAAUUUCGGAUUAGUAUUUACAAAUUCUGAGGUUUACUCUCGGAUUUGAGUCUUUGUAUCUUUAACAAAAAAAUCCAAACAAAUCUAUUCAAAUCGAUUAUAAAAUCAAAUUUAUUAGUAAAUCCGUACGAUUGAAUAACAGUUGAUUUGAUAUAGAAUUUAUGAAUAAUUAAACUAAAAGAGAAAGACUUGGGUUCACCCCUAUGGUGAACAUUUAGAUUCACCAACCAAUCAAAAAUUAGCAUUCUACAUGUAGUCUUUUUCAUAAAAAGAAACAAAAUAUUUCGAAUUUACAUCUUAAAAUAAAUAGAUAAAAAAUAAAUAAAAAAUAUUAGUAGCUGUAAAAAAAACAAAAUUCUAAAAAUUGUUAACGUCCACACUAAAUCGUAAACCCUAAAUCAUAAACACUAAACCUAAACCCUAAACACUAACCCCUAAAUUCUUAGAUAAACCCUAAACCCUUGUGCAAAUCAUAAAUCCUUAGAUAAACCCUAAAAGCUAAACCCUAAAAUUUAAAGUAAACCCUAAACCCUUGGGUAAAUCUGAAACCCUUGGGUAAAUCUUAAUCUUUGGGCAAAUUUUAAACCAUUGAAUAAAAUCUUUUGGGUUUAGGAUUUUAUCCGAAGGUUUAGGAUUUAUCUAAGAAUUUAGGGUUUAUCCGGUUUCUUGCCAAAACCGUAAAAACGUAUUUUACUGCCAAAACCGCAAAAAUGUGUUCUCCCCCCCCCCCCNNNNNNNNNNNNNNNNNNNNNNNNNNNNNNNNNNNNNNNNNNNNNNNNNNNNNNNNNNNNNNNNNNNNCCCCCCCCCCCCCCCCCAAACCGCAAAACAUGUUUUUCAGCCAAAACCACAAAAAUAUGGUUUCUUGCCAAAACUGUAAAAACGCAUUUUACUGCCAAAACCGCAAAAACGUGUUUUCCCGUCAAAACCACAAAAAUACAUUUCCUGUCAACAUCUCUUUAAAUUUAUAAGGAAAAAACGUAUUGAGACGAAACCUCUUUAAAUUUAUUAUCUUUUAGCAAAUUAUACAAACAACAAAAUCUUACUCAAACUGGAUAAAGUACAAGAGAUCACAUAUGCUCUGAAGCUCUUUCCAAAGCCUAACAACCAUUCAAAAAUCAUAUUUCUUACCCAACCACAUAAAACUCAUGAAAUCGGCUUGCAGAGGAGGAUGGUUUGCAAAACUAAGGCGGACAAGUCCAUGAAAUGAAAGAGAUCCAAAAUCAAAUUGAGAAAAUCAAGCGGAUAAAAGUACAAGAGAUGGCUUUAUUUUUUUUUUUUGCAUGGUUUGCAAACUUUGAGGGGGACAACGUCCAUGAAAGAGAAACUUUGAAAACCAAAAGCGCACUAGUUGUUGUUUCCUCAUUCUCUCUGAAGUUGAUGGAAAUUUAAUUCGCAAAGGUGAGGAUAAAUAAUAAAAUGAGAGAUAUCCACCACUCACAAAGUCUUAAAGUAAACAAAAUGUCAAGCAAGAUAAUAUGUUUCGUUAAGUCAACAUCCUAAACCUUUAUUCAAAAGCAUAAUAAAUAAAAGGAGAAGAGCAAAUUAAUUCCCAGAAGGGAGAAACCAUCGAGCAUCCAUGAGAUCCAUCUUGUUAAGAUUGUGAUAGCGAUGGAGGGUCUUCGUUGCAAGAUUGUACACACAGAUGUCAAGGUCGCGAGGUGAGCAAUGGCAGGGACGAAAGUGACGGGUGAAAUAGAUGGAGUCUGGUUCGAUACCAAGGGCCUUGUUAGCAGGCACAGCAAAACCCAAGUCAAGAAGCAGAGCCUCACCACCAAGAGAAUGUACCUCAGUAACCGUGUGGCAGGCGUGAUCUGGGUCUUCUACAUCAGGAUCCUUCUUGUAGAGGCGGAACCAGGUCCUACUGGAUGGAUCACUCUCAACCAACAAAACCUCUCCUGAUGAUGUUGUAACCGCAAUGCUAGAAUCGUAGGCGUAAUCAUGAUGAGAAAGCAUUGGGAAUGGUAUUUGACCGGUAAUGUCCUUGAAGAAACCUUGCGGUCCAGACAGAUCAAAGACUCGAACAAAACGACGACUUGUUGAGACGUAGAGGCGGGGAACACAUAGCACACUAUCUUGAAGAAACCUUGCGGUCCAGACAGAUCAAAGACUCGAACAAAACGACGACUUGUUGAGACGUAGAGGCGGGUACCACAUAGCACCAUAUCCGACAAGCCAUCAUACUUGUGAAAGGCAUAGUCAUCGAAAACGAGAGGAAUGUCAGUGUAAUGAGUAUCCCCAUUCUUGCAGAAGCUCAUGUAAGAGUGUCCAGGGAGGUCGAACAACCACACCACGACGUACUCUUUUCCACUCUCCGAAACCCACAAAAGUCCCCUCACCACAUCAGCACUCAGAUCCCCGUAAAUAGCGCCAGACUCAUCCCUUAUAAAUUCUCUA
rnacentral:lncRNA from 1 species